rnacentral:rRNA from 1 species
UACGGAGGGCGCGAGCGUUAAUCGGAAUUACUGGGUGUAAAGGGAGCGCAGGCGGGAAGCCAAGUCAGCUGUGAAAACUACGGGCUUAACUUGUAGACUGCAGUUGAAACUGGUUUUCUUGAGUGAAGUAGAGGUUGGCGGAAUUCCGAGUGUAGCGGUGAAAUGCGUAGAUAUUCGGAGGAACACCGGUGGCGAAGGCGGCCAACUGGGCUUUAACUGACGCUGAGGCUCGAAAGUGUGGGGAGCAAACAGG